rnacentral:tRNA from 1 species
UGUAGCUCAGUGGUAGAGCUCUUGCCUAACAUGCUCAAGGCCCUGGGUUUGAUUCCCAGCA